AAUGUCUAAACCUGUGGUUCCUCUUGUACUAAGGAUUACAACUGCAGCAACAUGGACAUCAUUAAGUCUCUUACAGUGUCUGUCCACAACGUCUAAAGGGAUGUUGUCCUCAGGAAAGCUCACAGCAUCCAGACGGGACGCCACCAGCAGGAGUAUCAGCAGGUCAAUCGUCAGUUCUCGCCACCCCAUCGCUGGCACAGAGGGCAAACACCUCCUGUACUGCACUUAUGUAAAUGUUACCUGCAACACACACAAACACAUACACGCAUUAAAUAAUAUAACUAUAACUAA
rnacentral:lncRNA from 1 species